UAAUCUUCAAAUCUCAGUUUUCCUCUGAUAUAAAAUAUCACUCUUCUUUAAAUACAUCAUAACAUUAUUCCAAAUUACCAGAUCCAAACGCUGAACAACAAACAGUUCAUGUUUACCACAAGGAAUAGGGUUAAAUUUUGCUCUCCAGUGACGAAUCCCAACCCAGAACAGAUUUUAGCCAGGCAGCCAGCAGAGCUCGCUGGGUGAACUGAACAGGCCAUGGUGGGUGCAGAGCUCAGAGCCGGAAAGCAAACAGCUGCUGUAGCCUGAUUUGAGUUAAAAUAGUGUGAGUGUUUAGUCUGGCGCACGGCUUCAGGGGAGAUUGGCAGCUGGGUCAAACAAAGUCCUUCCAUUGGCUCUCUUCCCAGGCAGCUUCUGCUAGUAUUUAGGUACUAGUGCAGUGUAGGGCCCUUUCUCAGGCAAAACCUAACAUCUGACCGCACCCUCUUUGCUUUUUCCAAAAAAAAAAAAAAAAAAAAAAAAGAAAAGAAAAAAAAAGAAAGAAAGAAAAAAAAAGCUUCUUUUUCCUUCUUUCGUUAAGAUAAAUUCUCCAAUAGACAACCUCUCCCACUAAUUGUGUAUUAGCAAUGUAUUUUAUCUUGAGAGCUGACGCACUGGGCUCUCAACGUGGUGUGGAAGGCAGCCUGUUACAGUGCUGGAUUCAUAAAAGGGCCUUUAUGGUUUGUGAAAGAAUAUCUGUGUGCUUAGGCAGGAAACUUUUUGAUCUGCAGAAAAGCCUGAAGACAUCUAGGUAAGGCUGCGUAUCAAAUCUACUUUUGGGGGGAAAAGUUGGGCAGUGAGAAUGAUUCCUCACAAGCGACGUGAGUUUGGAGUGUGCCUGUUCACUUUUGUAGAAGUUUAAAAGGGUACCCUUGAAGAUUAAUCAGAGAGCCUGUCACGUGCCUCUAAAGGGAAAAACUUAAAAUGGAUAUGAGAAGUGAAGAAAGUGAUCAUAAGAGAAAAUCAUCUCAGGUGUCUGACGAUUUGUGAGCACCAAAUGACUAUUCUGUGGAGUCAUCUUUCCUUGCCUUUGAAUUAGCUUUUCCUAGGCUAUGAGUCAACAUCAAUAUUUUAUACAUCCAAAUUGAAGAAUGAGAAUGUUGAUAAUCCUUCUGUGAACCAGCAUCAGAUAACCUCCCGGCUCCUAUUUCAGUUAAUACAACUUUGAUAUCAUGCAUGUUGGAUUCACGGUGUGAAUGUGGCUCCCAAAGUCACAUGAGGGGCUUUAGAAAACGCUGAUGCCUGGGUCUCAACCACAGUGAUUUGGAUUUAAUUGCUCUGUUCCUUAACCAGAAUUCCUGAGAGCACAUGAUGUUCUAGUCCUUGUGCAGGCGUAAGAGUACAGCAGUGAAGGAACAUAAAGAUAUGAUACAUUUUUGAGAACUACAUCUUCAUUUACUAGAGACCUUCAUUUAACUCUCUGCUACAUUUGCUUGUCGCAUCAUCACUCCUUGGACUUCAGAAUUACCGGCCUUGGGACAGCCUCUUCCCCACAAACACUGUCCCCUGCCCCCACGCCCAGUUGUUGUGGCUCAUCCUGUUUAUUGAUGUGGUGACAGCAGAGCUGACUUACAGGAUUUUUGUAGACUGGACAUUAGGACACAGGCCUGUACCAUGAGAGCAGCAAAGUGGUAUCUCAAGCCUCAUUCACAGAGGUGGAUCCAGUCCAAGUCCUUCCUGAUUUCAUGCUCAUUUACAACUCACUUUUCUUAUUGUUACAACCCAUGCCCUAUAACAGGAAAUGAGGACCAUUAACAGGCAUUAAGCGGGACAUGCUUCCACUGUUUGUCGUCCACAAUCUCAUUCUGUGAACUUUUCAUAGAUUGGGAUACCUAGACUUGUAAACUUAUACUUGAAGAAGCUUAGUCUAUAUCACCAUUUCCCCAAUUUCUUAGCACCAAGUAUUUUUUUCUUUCACAAGUGCCCAACCAGGGACAUCUAAUAGAAACCAUGUCAAAGAUGAAAAGAGCAUCACAGAGGAAAGUAAAGAAGGCCAACUCUAAAUAUAUUUAAUCAUAAAAGGAAUUUAGAAAAUAGUCUAAAAUAAAUGGGCAUGCAGGCUGUCCCACAGAAAGUAAGACACACCAAUGAGAGUAGAUGUGAAAUACUAAUUCAAAGCAUACUUUGACCCUUGAGGCAAGCUGUAGUUUCUUCUUUAAUUGGGAACUUACUAUGUAUCAGGCACUGUGCCUAAGAAAUUUGCAUAUGUAAUCACAUUUAAUCUUUCCAAUGCCCCUGUCAGGUAACCUCUAUUAUUGUCCUUCAUUUAUUAGAUAAAGGGAGCUAAAAUUUGGAGCGAUUAAGAAAUUGGUCCUCCACGAUACAGAUAAUAAACAGCAGAAUCUUGAUUCAGACUGAUUUUGUACCUGAUUUUAAGUUCUUAAGCACAAUGUUGUAAUGUUGUUAUGAGCUACUUUUAUUGAUUGCAAAGGAUUGAAAUCCACUUUAUAGUUUAUGAAAAAGUAGAAAUCAUAGAAAGGAACCUGAGAGGUUUCAUAGAAACCAAACACAGGACUCAGUUUCCACCCACAUCUACUCUCAUUACCUCACCCUGUCCCACCAACCUCUACUUGCUCCCUCUCCAGCUCCCCCCCUACCACCUACCCACCCUCCCACCUGUCCCUGGCUUGCUUCCUUUGGUUCAUGUGGUGGAAAAACAAUUACUGUGAGCUUUAUGUCUCCUAUUUCAAGCACUCAAUGCCCCCAAACAUGAACUUGACUCAUUUUUGAUCACAAAGCCCACAGAUCAUGGGGAUGGAAAACUUUGGCCACCUUUAGGUCAUUGCCCAUUCUGUAACAAUCACUUAAAUCAAAAUUAUUUGGAGGGAAGCUCUGUGUGUCUGACACUGUCCUGAGUACUGGGAAUACAGAGAUGAACCAGACAGAUAAUAUCUUACAUUCUAGUGGGGAGAGACAGGCAAUAAAUAAAUAAUUAUAAAUAUCUGAGGCAAGUACAUAUAUAAGCCAAUGGUGCUAAGUUAAAAUAAGGUAAUAUAUACAGCACGUGAUGGGACGGAGGUCAACAUUAGGGGAUGUGUCUCUGAGAUGAUUUUUGAGUAGAGACUCAAAUGUCGAGAAGAAACCAACCAUCAGAAAAUCAAGGAAGAUCAUUCCAGGAGACAAGGAUGAAAGGUAGGAAAGCAAUAAGCUGAGAAAAUUAGUCAGCCAGGAUGGCUAGAAAUUAGUAAGUGAAUGGGAGAAAGAAAGGGGGUAAGUUAGGAGUCAGAGAGGAAGACAGGGACUAAAACUCUGUAUGGGAGACGUUUGAAAGUUUAUUCAAAGUGGAAAAAGUUGUAGCCAGAGGGAGGAUGCUCUGAUUUGCCCAAGUUGGGUCUGAUCCCUUGGGUUAUAUUUUAAUUUGGCCGCUGUUGCUGCUGCCACAGGGCUUAAAAGGAGGAUGAAUAUUUCCCUGCGGGAGCUGUGGUUCUGGGCAGAGAAAGCAAUGAACAAUCCUGUCCUCUUUCUUCGCAGUUCUGUUCAAGAGCCUCUGUUAUAAAUUCCUUUAACAGUUCCCAUAUAUUGUCAAGCACCAGUUGCCACUGUUCUUUCAAAGCCAGCUUUAUCUAUAAGGUUAUGUUUUCUACCAAUUUUAGAUAUUUUAGAUUUUCUGAUUUUUCCAUACAAUUUUAAGGCUUUAUUUUAAAGGAGCCAGUUCAAUUGGAAUAUCAUCCAAUGUUGGAUAAUUAUCUUUCUUAUGCUGAUUUGUUGAUUGCUUACCUUGUGGCUAGUAUCUACUUAAAUACUGUCUGUUGCCUCUAGGCAUGGGCUUUCAGUUUGAUUUCAUUGGGUUUUAUAUCUUCAAUUUCCCAUCUUCCAAGUUCUGUUAUUUGCCAUGCUUAUUUUCAGUUUUCUUAGUAAAAAUCAUUUGGAUGCUGAGGGCGUUUUGCUAGGUACCAGACAGGGAGCAUCACACAACUAUAAAAGCAAGUCAAACUAAUGGGAAAAUGGAGUAAAAUGGAAAGGGAUGCCAUGAGAAUGGAGAGACUCUGCAAGCAAAAAGAAAAAGAGAAACUAUAGACAAUCAAGAUAAUAGUCACAUCCAAAAACUAAGAAAUAGCCCGAAGAGUUAUGAAUUGCUACAGCAGAAUUAAUGAGAUGGAAAAGUUCUUAAGGAAAGGAGCCAAGGAUAGAUAAAGGAAGAAAAAUCAGCAUAAAAGGAAGAAAAAGCAAAAUGGAGAAAAGAAAAAUUAGAAAAACCCCAAGUGCAAGGUGGAAGAGUAGAACGAAACAAGGGACACAUUAAGAAAUGGUGCAUUGCAUUAAAGCAAAUGUGUUCUCGUUUCUUUAUUCUUAUCUUUAACUGGCUUUGCAUUUCUCUGGUAGCAAAGCCAAGCUGAAAGGGUAAUUUUGUUUAUGUACCCAAUUUGCAUAAUUGUGCAAUAUAAAUUACAAUGCUAAUUAAGGACAGCCCUUGGGCUUCUGGAAUUGGGUCAAAGUGGCUCCCUGAGAGCAAAGAGGUUGCGGCAUUGGCUCUGUCCCCUCUCCCACCGCAGGGAAGCCAGGCAAGAGCAAAGAACCUCUCUGACAGUGUGUGAAAUCUUGUCAGAAUUGGUUGAAGACCCAGAACUAUAUGUCUCACUCCACAACUUGGCUUUGAAAAUCAUCUGUGUGUGAUUCAGCAAGGAGGGAACUAAUCCUAAAGGGUCUGUGUUGGUUAUCAUUUUAGGAGUUUUUUCCCCUCACUUUUUUUUUUAUUCAGAGAAAAAAUUUUUUUUUCAGACUGUAGAUAACCAAGCGUGAACCUGGCAUACGAUGUUUUCGUGCUGCACUGUUGCCAGAAUUGUCCCCAACCGGUGUAUGACGUGCCCUGCUCAGAAGCCUGGGGAAGCCGACAAGCUGCUUUCUGAGCUUCAGUUAAAUCCAUGUCCUUAAAACUAACUAAACCGUUGCACCGUAACUGCAUCAAAAACUCAAUCCCAGAGAGUUUAUUCCCUGCAGUAUUCUGAAUAGGGAACGGAAAGGUGUAGGGUUCAUAUAAUCUUCAGUUUAGGAUUUUCAAGGAAAGAAUCUCUCUGCAUUCCUAUAGUGAAGGCUCCCCUAGCUACAAUGGAGGGGCCUCUGUUUAGGCCUGUUCUGAAGGAGGUGUUUUGCAAGUGUUUUUUGACUGUUGAAUCCUGGCCUCAAGCAAAGGUUAUCUAGAAAAUCGGAAGAAAUAGAUUCAGGGACUUCCCUAGUGGUCCAGUGGUUAAGACUCGGCACUGCCAAUGCAGGGGGUGUGGGUUCGAUCCCUUUUCGGGAAACGAAGAUCCCACAUGCCACCUAGUGCAGCAAAAAAAAAAGAAAAGAAAAGAAGAAAGAAGAAAGAAAGAAGGAAAGGAAGGAAGGAGGAAGAAAGGAAGGAAGGAAAGAAAGAAAAGAAAGAAAGGAAGGAAGAAAGAGAGAAGAAAGAAAGGAGGAAGGUAGGAUGGAAGGAAAGAAGGAAGGAAGAAAGAGAUCCAAAAUCACUAAGGUCGGAGUAGGGAUGGAGGGGUGGCAGCACUGGAGCCCAAGUGUCCUCUCUCAGCCCUCUAUAUCCUCUUCCCCCAGUUCUCCAUCUUUCAAGAGUGCAGAAGCCACUUUUUUAAGGGAUUUUUUAUCCAACUUAGAUAACAGAGCUCAUUUUGACUUUAAGACAUUUGAAGGUUCUUCUCACUGGGAACAUUUUAUAGGAAUAAUUGGAAAACACAUGGCCUAUUUCUUAUCCUGUGAUACUUUAUUUUCUAGAGCAUUUUUUCAAAUUUGUUCAUAUCUAGGCAUUUAAAAAAUGGUAAUAUUCUUAUGGAAUGCUGGGAUAAACUAGGGAGAAUUGGGACUUUGGGAUCGUCCUGGAGCAGGACUCGAACCCGUGUCCCCUGCACUGGCAGGUAGAUUCUUAACUACUGCGCCACCUAGGAAGUCCUAGAAUUGGGACUUUGGAUGAGGCUGCUCAUUUUCCAAGGUGACUGUGUCUGAGGCUUUAACGAACCCAACCCUCCAGCUACUCAAGGCCAUAGACAGUGGCUCAUGGUUCAACUAUUAGACUAAAGUCUGGCAAAAUACAAUCCAUGUCAGGAACAAUUGGGAAAAUUGGCAAAAUCUUGAGAAUAUUGUUUGAGAGUGUAGAUACAACCAAAAAUACAUUUUCUAACUUACUCCUGGUAUAGGAGACAAUAUGCUUCCCAUUUUGCUGACAUUAAUUUGAAUUGUUUCAUUUUCGACUGGAAGAGCCUUAAUUAAUAUAUAUUUUCAUUUCUUCAAAUUCAGAUCUAAUAGGUUACAUUCCAGUUUAAAAAUCUUCAGGACUCACUAUUGCAUAUAGGAAAAAGUCCAAAUCUUUAUCUAAUUAUAACUAAUAUAUGUUCACCUGCAACACCAUCAAUAUGGGGUAGUGUUCCCUCUCACUGGUUUACUGAUGACAACGUUAGCCAAAAGUGAACAGGGUGGUCAUCAUCUCUGGUCUGGUUAUUGUCCUUUUAUUAUCUUAGUUGAGCAGCCCUUAGCAGACAAGUUGCUUGCUGCUCCUGGAGCUGAAAUGCUUUUUAGUAGAUUUUCCUUCUCUUUUUCUGCUGUUGCUCAGGAUUUAGUCAUUCUAGCCUUUUCCCCUAGCAUAUAUUCUGAUCCUAAUUAUAAAGGUAUACUCUUAGAAUGUAGGUAUCUUAGAGAACGCGUCUUCUGAUGGUUGUGUAUCUGUUGAGAUCAAUUACCAUGAAGCUGUGAUUCUCAAUGUGUGGUUCUUGGACCAGCAGUAUCAACAUCACCUGGGAAACUGUUACUAAUGCAAAUUCUUGGGCCCAACCUCAGACCCACUGAAUCAGAAACUCUGGGGAUGGGCCUUAGAAAUCUGUGCAAGGUGAUUCUCUUGCAUGAUAAACUUUGCAAACCAUUGCCAAAGAGAGUCAGGCUUAGAGAACAUCUUGGUCCAGGACUUCCUAAACUCAUCUUUCAUUACUUCAAUACACUUUCCUUAUGUCUUUUUAAUUUCUAUAUCAUUGCAGUUUUCUCUUCUAUAGGGAACUCAUGCCCUCCAGGGCUAAAUAUUCCCUAAUCAACUGGGUUUAUAGUUUUACAAUUUCACGCCCACAUCAUGUGGGUGACUAUUGUUAGGUUCUUGCUUCUUUAAAAUUUUCCUGGAAGAUUGGAGAAUUAAAGUUACCAGAUUUAUUAAUCACAUGCCAUCAUAUCUCCUUUUGGAUGGAAUUUUGAAAUCAUAAAAUGUACUUUAUCCCCUCUUAGUUUGCCUCCUUGCUGAUUUCAGGCUAGUAUUAAUUCCAUGUUUCCUAGGCAUACAAAAACUGAUGACAUUGUGAGAUACAAAAUAAUCAAUAUUGCAUGGCAAGGGGACAUCAUUCUAGAGCUAAACUCUUGAAAUCAAAAUCCACUGAGAAGGCAAAAUACAUUUGCAGAAAUUGAACUGUACACUUGCAUCAUGAGUAGAGAUACAGACAGAUGCAAGCCCUGUUUAGGGUUUUGGAGCCCCAGCUCUGGAGCCAGACUUCCUGAGCUUGGAUCCUGUUCCACCACUUACUGAUUAUGAGACCUGUACAAAUGCUCUGUGCCUCAGUUCCUUUAUCUGCCUGUCGCAAAAGAUGUCUUCAGUGAAUUUUAACCACCGCUAAAGCUAUUGAAUCAACAUCUUGCAAAGGAUAUCCACUCAUAGUAGUCAGGCAAGGUUUGUAUAAACUAAGUAUCUGUUUCUAAAAAAACAGAUUCAUAUUUUGAUGAUAGAGAACUGGUCGAGAAUGAAUAAACCCACACUGGGAAAUGAAAACAAUAAGUAGUUCUUUUAAAGCUUGCAGUAUAUACUCAAAUCUAAUGGAACUUUAAGUGGUACACAGUGAGAUUUAGUAUAGAUUCUAAUUUUCCCAAGCCCAGAAACUUGCACCAAUUUUAGCUAAGAUAAUAGCUCUGUUGUUUCUAAUCUGCCCUCAUUUCAUCUGACUGUGAAAGUUCUUCCUUUUUCCAGAGCUUCAGUCUCUUCUAGCCUGCCUGCUUCAGAAGAUGUUACCUUCAUGUUUAUAAAAGGAUUGGGCUGAUAUGUUGUAACUUUGAUGCCUGUAAGCACUUACUAUUGUUUGUGGAAAACGUUCUAAAAUUUGUAAAUAGCUCAAAGUUUGUGUUAAGAUAAGAUUCUUGAUAGACACAAGUCCAAAAGAGGUUUGGCUUUUCUACACUUUGGCUAAGCCUGCCAGGAAUUUCUAAUUAUCCCAGAAUGUUUGUAUGCUCUUUGAGUGUCUGGGCUUAGAAUUUUACUGUUUUUCCAUUUUACAUUCUGUAUCUUAUUGGCUACAUUUUUUUUCCUCCACAGUUACACCCAUAAUAUGCUUUCUAGUCUUGAAAACUCACUUCAACAUUACAUGCAUGAUUGUAUAUUCUUAUUAAAAAUAUAUUAAGCACCAGGCACUGUUCCAGGCAUGUAGGGUAAAGUGGUUAUUAAAGUUCUAGCCACCAUAGUGCUUAUAUCAGUAAAAUAAACUGUAAUUUCCUAGAAGACAGAAACUGAAGAUCAUUGUAUCUGUUUUGUUCUUAGUAGAGUUUUGGGAGCAUGAAUAGAGUCUCCUAAGUUCACAAAGCCCACAUAAGAUAGUUCAUUCAACCUUUCAGGAAUGUUGUUAAGAAUUAAAGGAAUAGAAUAUUUGAGAGCACUUUGAUACAUUUUUAUAAAUGUUAAUUAUUUUUGUAGGCAGACGCAAUUGGGUUUGGGGAAUGUGUCUUGAAUGGAAAGAUAGUGAUGAAAACAGGGAAUCACUGGGAAAAGGGGAAACAAGCCGUAGUUCACAAUUAUGUAGGACUGCCGUGAAAUUUCACCCCCAACCUCCGAAUCUAAAAUGGAUACAUGGACCUUCCAGAAUGUGUAACUUGGUCAUCAAGAGGUUCAACUACAGUGCAACUUGCAGUUUAGACCAUUAUCGUAUCAUAGAGUUAAUUAAAAACUAUUUAAUCUCCCUUACUCUGAAAUAUGUAGUACAGAAUACGAAUGGGAAUUUAAGUAUUUCUCCAGCCCAUUAUGAAAAUGUCUAGCAUAUUUUGUGGAUAAUAAUUUCUUGGAUUAUUAGUUACUUUGCUAUUUGU